UGAGCUGGGCUCAAAGAAUCCAAAACAAGAGCGUCCAGGCUCAGUUGGUUGCACAAAGACCAAUCCAGGGUGAGCAGACACGGAUUCAUCAAGCCAGGUGAAACCUAUCCUGGAUAAGUGCGCGCUAGCGGCUCCCUCAGAUAGACCUCGCCACCGAUCACAGAUUCACUGAUUCACCAUGGCGAGUAGAGCGGCUUACUUUACCCCGUCGGAGGGAGAAAUCCGGAUGGAGGCAUACGAGGAGGUGAAAGACAUUAUUAAAAAGAAAGGCAACACCGCCACAGUGAUAAAGCAAAGAGAAAACGCGUGGCAAAGUAUUGAAUGUGUAAGUAGUGCACAACUACACACUCACCGCUCCGCUGAAACUUCACAAUUACAAUCCAAAUAGUUAAUUCACAUCUCCAAAAACGCAGUUGUACUUUGAUUAUGAAUUAGUUGAAUUUUUUCAACUACUCAUGACUCAGUCCAUGACUCCAGAGUCUUUGGGACCUCUGAAACCUGUCAGCGCCUAUCACUAGGUGAAUUCUCUGGUGUGUUGCUGGGAGACAGGGGGUCUGCCUGCCAGACUUUUCUCCUGACACCAUUCACAGACCCCCAGGAAGCACAGCAGGCCUACAGCCAUGCUCAUGCCAGGACCAGGACCAGGACCAGGCCCAGGCCCAGAGUUGAAAUGACCUUUGGCCUCCUGAAGGCACGCUUUCAGUGUCUUCACUGUCCUCCACAAUGUGGCCUGCCUGAGGAAGCAGAGGGCCCCCAGAGGGCCCCCAGCCAUGGACUUGGACAAUCCUGCAAUCUUCCCUGAUGACGACAGUGGUCGGAUGGUGAGGGACCAAUAUGUGUUAAAUUAUUUUAGUUAAUAUGCAUGCUUUAAAUUUAAGUUAAAUAUGUCCUGCAGUGGCAGAGGAUUUUGUGUGUUUUUAUUUAUU